rnacentral:rRNA from 1 species
CCGCCGGCGACCGGCGCACGGGUGAGUAACACGUAUGCAACCUGGCCGUGACAGAUGGAUAACCGGGAGAAAUCCCGCCUAAUACAACAUAAUGCCGGGAGGGGACAUCCCCUGCCGGCCAAAGGGGGCGACCCCGGUCACGGAUGGGCAUGCGGCGCAUUAGGUAGUUGGUGGGGCAACGGCCCACCAAGCCGACGAUGCGUAGGGGUUCUGAGAGGAAGGUCCCCCACAUUGGUACUGAGACACGGACCAGACUCCUACGGAAGGCAGCAG